AGGGCGAGGGCUGUAACCGGACCACCUCGGAGGGGCAUGCGGGAGCCGAAGUGGUGCCUGGUGAGAGAGGGAGCUUCCUGAACGUGAGCAUCAGCGACCAGGGCCGCCCUGACUCCCUCUUCCUGUCGUGGGAUGAGCCGGACGGGGGUGCCCUGGGCUACACCCUUGCAAUCUACACGCUGGAGCCAGACGUGCUGCUGCAGAAUGGAUCGGCUGGACCCAACGCUACCAGCUUCCAGUUCCAGGGCCUUGUUCCCGGGACAGGCUACAGCAUCGAGGUCACUGCUGCUCUGGCCUGCGCGGAGGCCUCCAGCCAGAGAGUCAGCGGCCAGACAAGCCCUGCUCCCGUGCACAACCUGAGUCUGAGCAGCGACGGGAGCCCCUCGGCCCUG